rnacentral:rRNA from 1 species
GACGAACGCUGGCGGCGUGCCUAACACAUGCAAGUCGAACGAAGUGGCGAACGGGUGAGUAACGUGUAAUCAACCUGCCCUUCAGAGGGGGUCACCAGUUGGAAACGACUGCUAAUUCCGCCUACUGAAGGAGGGGUCUGCGUCUGAUUAGUUCGUUGGAGGGGUAACGGCCCACCAAGGUGAUGAUUGGUAGCCGGUCUGGGGGGAUGAACGGCCCGAUUGGGACUGGGACACGGGCCAGAGUCCUACGGGAGGCAGCAGUGGGGAAUCUUCCGCAAUGGUCGAAAGUCUGACGGUGCAACGCAGCGUGAGUGAUGACGGCCUUCGGGUUGUAAAGCUCUGUUAAUCGGGACGCGGUACCGGAAUAGAAAGCCACGGCUAACUACGUGCCAGCAGCCGCGGUAAUUC